UACAGAGGGUGCGAGCGUUAAUCGGAUUUACUGGGCGUAAAGCGUGCGUAGGCGGCUUUUUAAGUCGGAUGUGAAAUACCCCUCGAGCUUAACUUAAGGAAUUGCAUUCGAUACUGGGAAGGCUAGAGUAUGGGAGGAGGAUGGUAGAAUUCCAGGUGUAGCGGUGAAAUGCGUAGAGAUCUGGAGGAAUACCGAUGGCGAAGGCAGCCAUCUGGCCUAAUACUGACGCUGAGGUACGAAAGCAUGGGGAGGCAAACAGGAUUAGAUACCCCCGUACGU
rnacentral:rRNA from 1 species